rnacentral:rRNA from 1 species
ACGAACGCUGGCGGCGUGCUUAACACCUGCAAGUCGAACGGUGAAGCGCCUUCCUUUUUGGUGGGUGUGGAUGAGUGGCGAACGGGUGAGUAACACGUGAGUAACCUGCCCCCUUCUUCUGGAUAACCGCAUGAAAGUGUGGCUAAUACGGGAUAUUCUGGGUCUGUCGCAUGAUGGGUCUGGGAAAGAUAUUGUUUCGGUGGGGGAUGGGCUCGCGGCCUAUCAGCUUGUUGGUGGGGUGAUGGCCUACCAAGGCGGUGACGGGUAGCCGGCCUGAGAGGGUGGACGGUCACACUGGGACUGAGACACGGCCCAGACUCCUACGGGAGGCAGCAGUGGGGAAUAUUGCACAAUGGGCGCAAGCCUGAUGCAGCGACGCCGCGUGAGGGAUGGAGGCCUCCGGGUUGUGAACCUCUUUCGCCAGUGAAGCAGGCCUGCCUCGUUUGUGGGUGGGUUGACGGUAGCUGGAUAAGAAGCGCCGGCUAACUACGUG